rnacentral:rRNA from 1 species
UCCUUUGGGUUAAUACCUCGGAGGGAUGACGGUACCUGAAGAAUAAGCACCGGCUAACUACGUGCCAGCAGCCGCGGUAAUACGUAGGGUGCGAGCGUUAAUCGGAAUUACUGGGCGUAAAGCGUGCGCAGGCGGUCUUGCAAGACAGGUGUGAAAUCCCCGGGCUCAACCUGGGAACUGCACUUGUGACUGCAAGGCUGGAGUACGGCAGAGGGGGAUGGAAUUCCGCGUGUAGCAGUGAAAUGCGUAGAUAUGCGGAGGAACACCGAUGGCGAAGGCAAUCCCCUGGGCCUGUACUGACGCUCAUGCACGAAAGCGUGGGGAGCAAACAGGAUUAGAUACCCUGGUAGUCCACGCCCUAAACGAUGUCAACUGGUUGUUGGACGGCUUGCUGUUCAGUAACGAAGC